rnacentral:tRNA from 1 species
AUUUAUAUAGUUUAAUAAAACAUUACAUUUUCAUUGUAAAAUUAGAAAUAAUUUCUUAUAAAU